CUUUUGACUAUAAUUUAAGGUCUAACCUGCCCAAUGAUUUUUAAUUAAAUGGCCGCGGUAUCUUGACCGUGCAAAGGUAGCAUAAUCAUUAGUUUUUUAAUUGAAAGCUGGUAUGAAAGGUUGAAUGAGAAAAUAGCUGUCUCUUUUUAAAUUUUUUAGAAUUUUAUUUUUAAGUAAAAAAGCUUAAAUGUUUAUAGAAGACGAGAAGACCCUAUAGAGUUUUAUAAAUUGUUGUAACUAAAUUUUUUAGUAUUUUAAGAUUAGUUUUUUCACUUUAUUUGAUUGGGGUGAUUAAAAAAUUUAAUAAACUUUUUUUUUAUUAUUACAUUUAUUUAUGACUAUAUGAUCCUUUCUUUAAGAUUAUAAGAAUAAAUUACCUUAGGGAUAACAGCGUAAUUUUUUUUGAGAGUUCUAAUCGAAAAAAAAGAUUGCGACCUCGAUGUUGGAUUAAAAUUAAUUUCUGGUGNAGAAGCUUGA
rnacentral:rRNA from 1 species